UAAAUUCUUUGUCUAGGCCAUCCUGCUU
rnacentral:piRNA from 1 species